GUGAUCAACUCGUUUCAUAUUUUGCAUUCGACAGAGGAAAUUUCCACUGUGCCAGUUCAAUAUGUAGCUCUCUGUUUAAUGUAACAUCCAUUUAGGCAACUAAAUGAAGGACGCCAUUAUGCGAGUUAAAAAAAAGCUGACAGUUUGCGUUGACUUCCAAAAAUAGUUGGCCAGUUGUUUAAAAGUGGCUGGCGACUUUCAACUCGUCUUCACAGAUUGGAACACAAAAAGUGUGGUACCACAUAAGGUGUUAGCAGGUUAAAAGUUUCUUCAAGGUAUAUUCCAAUACUCUACAUCACUCCAAAGUUGGUGUUCACUGUUUCUACAAGGGUAGUAGAGAAACAGUGCUGCUCGAUGGAAGCCCUUUGGUCAGCCGUUACUUUGCCGAUAGUGUCAGCCAGCUUACCGAUGAGCAUGGAUGACGGUUAGACACCAACAACUGCGGCUGGGGCGCAGGUUUUGUCACUGAUGAACCACAGACCGACCACUGAACCUUGCUAGCUAGGAUGGCCUUACCACUUCGGGGUGAAAUUCAGGCAACUGAUUCUUAACAUGCGUAUACUCUUUGGAAGAAUAAAUGUAUGUGGCGGCUUCUGAGGUACGUCGGAUCUGUUCUGUGGUGAUUGGAAUACUAUACUGAAACUGAAUUCAACUCUCCUGAAAUCUGAACUCAAGGAAAACAAAACACAGACCUGCGGAUGGAGAAGUAACUGUAUCAUUGCUUAUGAAUUAUGGAGCGGUAAUCUGAAACAUCCAAGGCACUGUCACCAUAUAGGAGGAAGUCAGAGUAAGAGAAGAUGAUGGAGCAAGUACAGGCUGAUGUGUGGGCAGCAUCACCGGAGAGAGCAGAACCUGAUAGCUUGGAUGAGUUCAGCCACAUAGAGAAUGAUGAAGAUGACUCUGACAUUAGCCGUAGCACAGACAGUGAAAUUAGAACCAAGCAAAGGAGAAACUCAAGUUCCAGUGAGGACUCCGGUGACAGCGACCCUGACAGUGAUGAGGAACAAGAACAGUGGAUGAAGAAAACAGCAGAUUUGGGAGGGCUUUGUCGCCAGGUGAAUGCUCUGCAGGGGCUGCCUAUGUUGAGGUCGGGUAACGCAUCCCGCAUCGUAGUGCGAUUGGACUGACCAUUGAUGAAGUUUCCAGAGUUGAAGAUGCAGGUUACAUCAUAAGUAGCUUAGACAUUGUUGACAUGGAAGCUGUGCAUAAGGAGAACCAGACAGUGCUGAUGAGAAGAGCGCCCUCGCCUCAUUCAUGGAGGAGAGAAACAAGAUGGAGGACAAGAUCCUAUGGGACUCCCCAGAGAUGAUUCACAAGACUGUCACUGAGAGGAAGAAACUCAGAUAGAUGCCAGUCCUCGCCUCCAUUACUGAGGAGGAACAGUUUCCAAGGUUGCAUGAGGGAUCCUCAUCAGAAUCGUUGGCAUUGAUUCAAAGGCAAGGAAAGGACUCAAUCUUCUCACAGAUGCAGUUCCUUGCUCUCACCUUGGGAACGUGAUGGAGCAAGCCCAUCUGCGUAAAUAUUAGCAUAUUUACACUACUCAAUUAAGCAAGCAAAGGAUCCUACUUACUGAUUUUAAAAAAAUAUUUUUUCUUGGUACGUGUAGCAUCAUUUAAUUUUGUUAUUUUCUGGCAACCAAACAAGAAACUUUCUAGAAAGAUGAAGUCUCAUGAGAAAAAAACCCUCUUGUCCAGGUCUCCUGUACGGCCCUAAAAUUGGUGUGAGCUGUCUUUCUGUUGAGUUACAAUAAUACCCUGGACAUGUGAGGGUGCUAUUUAUGAGUUAGAACGAUACCCUGGACAUGUGAGGGCGCUAUUUAUGAGUUAGAAUGAUACCCUGGACAUGUGAGAGCGCUAUUUAUGAGUUAGAAUGAUACCCUGGACUUGUGAGAGCGCUAUUUAUUAGUUAGAAUGAUACCCUGGAUAUGCGAGGGCAUUGUUUUGGAUUUUGAAGUUAUCGCUGCUGAGAAAUGAAGCACUUUGAAGAUACGAUACAUAUAUGUAUCUCAGUGUGUAAAUAUAGCGAGACCGUUUUUCUUUCAGAAAAAUAAUGCAUACAUCUGUUUUGCAAAUCUACCCCCCCCAAUCAUAUACACGAAUUUUUUUAUAAUUAUUGAUAAAAAUAGACUGAUACAUUUCCCAGCUUGUGAACCGGCAGAGUUCAUUUCUGACCAAAGGCACCCCUGUUGCUGAGAAAAUAGCGCCCUCUCUUGGUCAAACUCAGGGGACAUUUGACUCUGAAACACGACACAUCUCUCAUAGCAUCAAUGAAAGACACCUGGCUGAAAAUUCAAAAACAGAUGUCUGAUCCUUUAAUAUUUUUGAGUAGUGUACAUUGGUAUACAGUAUAAUGCUGCUAUCAUGAACAGGGUAGGGUCCAUACACAAUUUGGUGUAGCAUAACCUCCCCAACUGCUCCGAUUUAAUUAAUGCUGAUAUUUCAAAGGCUUAGAAAUAGAAUCGUUCCAAUUUCCGUAAAAAAACAAAGAGAAAAAGAUUCCUUGCAAGAGGGCGCUAUUUGCAAAAAGGAGGUGCCAUUUGCAGAAAAAAGAGGGCGCUAUUUGCCAUGCGCAGUAAAACUGUAGUUCUGGUUUCUGAAUUUUCAAUGGUGAAAUCUUUGCUUUGGAGUCAUUCUCAUUAGUCCUAAAUUUCAUUCUUUCAUUUUAAAGCAAUUUUCAAUGUUAAGUAAUAGUGCAUGGAAAAUUCGGAGCCAAGGGGCAUGUACGGCCUAUUGUUCAGCAUAAUUUUAGUGACGUUGUACUGUAUUCAUGAAUUAGGAGGUACUUUUGUACACUCAGUACAGUCAGUCGCUCAGUUUGCUUUGAAACAGAAAGUAGUUUGCAAAUUAAGUAGUUUGCAUCUUUAACAUAUUGUAACGCAUCUACUGUACCUGUAAUUACGCUCAUUUAAAUCAUUCAUGUGUACCUGUAUGUAGGUUUUCAAGAUGCUAUACUCCAAAAAUUCCAAUGAUUUAUUGGUAAGAAAAAGCCUGUAGACACUUGAUAGACAGGACUCUCAUCAAAGUUUGCAACUCUUGCAAGCUUUCAAAAAUUGAACGGUAAAUUAUGCAAUUCAUAUCUCUGUUUCCCAUUCAGGCAACUUAGUGGCUGUUCAGAACCCAAAUUCAACAAGUUUUUUCUUGAACAAAAUUUUAUGUGCAUUAUGUAUUUUCCAAGUUGGACAUGCACAUUGCCAGAGCAUUAGAAAAAAGUCUUUUGCUGAAAAUUGUCACCAAAAUGCAAGUCAGAAAUUGUUGUCUCAGUGCUAAAAGGUCAUCAAUGCAAAAUGUUAAUUUUUGAAAAUACAGCCUUACUCUCAGCGUGAAAAAAUAUUGUACUGAAACAAACAUUGUUAAACUUCAAUUCAUAAAAUUAGAUUUUUUGCACUCCACAUUUAAAUUUCAACCAAUUUUCAUCCUCAAAUUGAUGUUUUCAACUGUGUUUUUCAAUGAGGACCUUUUAGCACCGACACAAUGUUUUUGUUUGAAAAUAUUGCCUUGCUAAAAUACCUUUGUGUGUCUAGUGAAACAAUCACCAUUUAUUGCUGUAACCGGUUAAUUUCUAUUUGCAAGUGAAAUAAAUGUUCAUUUAUUGUAACUAACAGAACAACUUUGGUUUUCAUCUAUUAGUGAAAGUGUAGCACUUUGCCACUUAGCCCUUCCACCAGUCUCAACCAUUUUACACUGCCAGAGUUACAUCCCAUUUUUACAUUUUACAGUGCAGCCUCAUCCUAAGCCCUGCCAGUCUUAAACAUCUUCCAAGCUCCUUAUAUAAAGUUCCCUCUUAGAGCCUUUAGUCUCAAUCCUACAAGGGCUCCAAUAAGCCCACUGGCAAUAUGGAACAUUAAGAAGCUAUGUCCUUCAACCCCAUGGGAUCCUCAGAGCACUAAUACUGAUAGUCCCAAGCCCUCAGCCAUCCACUCUAUCCUUCCUAUCAGCUCUCAGACUUCCAGCCCCUAGGCCUUCUAUCCUUGCCUAUCACCAGUGGAGAGUCUGGCUGAAAAA